CAGGGAGAACCUAGGCCCUGGAAACCUCUUCUAUCUAAAAGUCAAGUUCCUCUGCAGCAAACUGUUGGGGGUACCCAUGGACUUGAGAUGCUCCACCUAACCCCCACUGGACAGUGGCCUUGCAGACUUAAUGGGCUGUGGGCAGGAUCAGUGCAUGGGAAAAGAGUUAAUGUUCAGCCUCUCUCUGGCACUUGAAAAUGUGUGACUGAAGACUAAUCCCUUAUAUAGAAAAGAAAACAUGGGAAACAAACUGGUGUUGGCUGGUUCUCCCAUGCUUUGUUGUAGUAAAACUGUGAGAUGCAUAUACAUGGGAGUGCAACAGAAGAGGUACUCAGUGAAGAAUGCCAGAAGCCAUGGAUGCCCCGUGAUAGGCAACACAUUUGUUGCAGUUGUGUACACUCCCUUAGCUUCUUGCCUCCAGAAUAAACACAUGAGGUCUCAUCGUGCCAACUGUUACUACCAGGCAUAGUCAUCCUGCCCACACUUACUACCAGGUAUAGUUCCAUUGACUGAAGUCAUGGAGAUGGGGGAGCUUUUCAGUAGCCUUCAGGCCUGGCAGAUUGAAGGUAUUUUCAUUCUAAUCCAGCUGUGUUUGGAAGCCUAUAUGCCAAAACUAAUUCUAUUUGAUAACUGAACUUCUUCGUUUACCCUUGGGGUUUCAAAAAGAGAUGCCCCAACUCGCUGUGGUGCCCCUCCCAAGCAUGGACACUGCAAAGGUGGAGCUUUGUUUAGAGUGGAAAAAAUCAUUUUAAAUGGAAGAAUUUGAUGUUUUGUAUGUAACUGUAAAAGCAUUGCAUAGCAACAAACAUGCUAAGUAAACCACUCUUAGUUAUGAUGUUCUAUUUGCUUGAGUUAUCUAAAAUACGUCUUUCUAAAGCUCUGAGAGAGUGAAUUAUGUAAACUUGAAAAGGCAGCACACAUGGGAACCAGUCCGCUCUAAAGGAAAUCUAAAUAGAAGGAGGCAGAUGCUCAGCUAGUGUAAAUUGUAAUUGCUCCAUUGCAGCCAAUGGGAGCUAUGACAUCUUACCCCAACCAAGGAUCUGUGCCAGCAUCUGUUCUAUGGUUUAUAAAAAAUGGGCAAAUACUAUACACAGAAUAGGUGCACUAAACCAAGUUAAGACAAGAAUAUUUCCUGGUAGGGAGAGGAGGUCCCAAUACUUCUGAAAAGGGUCUGUAUCACAGUGUAAAGAAAUUGCUUUGUGCAGCUGCAAUCUAUGCUACCUACUUUUUAACUGCAACCUCGGUGCUACCCCAGUCAUCGGCUUCAAAGGCCACCCAAUGAACACUUCUUAACAGGGUGGCAUAUAGGAUAGCACAUUUCAGUUCUUACUAACAGGUUGAAAAAUCAUUACUCAUAGCAACAAAGUUGCGAUGCAAGAACACAGUUUUCAUACCAGACAGAUUCUUUGGUGAUUGAAAAAAAAAAUUAGCAUUUUCUUGAACACAGAUUUAUUUAGCUUUUCAGAAUAAAGGAUUAGUUUUGCUCCUGAUAUAAUUCUGACUAAUGAAGAAUAAACUGGAGUCCUUUCUUUUUGCAAUGUCACCAACAUACCGUGCAGUUUUUUGAUCAUACCCCAAAUUAGCUUGAACUACAAAGCUAAUAAUUGAGCUAAUAGCGCCUACUCUUGGAAAUGUAUUUGCUUUUCUCUGAAGAUCUUAACUUUUGGCAAAUUUCAUAAACCCUGAAUGUGUGGUUGUGAGCCUGAUGCAACUAUCAAAUUAC